GGGUUGUGAGGUUAAGCGACUAAGCGUACACGGUGGAUGCCCUGGCAGUCAGAGGCGAUGAAGGACGUGCUAAUCUGCGAUAAGCGUCGGUAAGGUGAUAUGAACCGUUAUAACCGGCGAUUUCCGAAUGGGGAAACCCAGUGUGAUUCGUCACACUAUCAUUAACUGAAUCCAUAGGUUAAUGAGGCGAACCGGGGGAACUGAAACAUCUAAGUACCCCGAGGAAAAGAAAUCAACCGAGAUUCCCCCAGUAGCGGCGAGCGAACGGGGAGGAGCCCAGAGCCUGAAUCAGUGUGUGUGUUAGUGGAAGCGUCUGGAAAGGCGCGCGAUACAGGGUGACAGCCCCGUACACAAAAAUGCACAUACUGUGAGCUCGAUGAGUAGGGCGGGACACGUGGUAUCCUGUCUGAAUAUGGGGGGACCAUCCUCCAAGGCUAAAUACUCCUGACUGACCGAUAGUGAACCAGUACCGUGAGGGAAAGGCGAAAAGAACCCCGGCGAGGGGAGUGAAAAAGAACCUGAAACCGUGUACGUACAAGCAGUGGGAGCCUCUUUAUGGGGUGACUGCGUACCUUUUGUAUAAUGGGUCAGCGACUUAUAUUCUGUAGCAAGGUUAACCGAAUAGGGGAGCCGAAGGGAAACCGAGUCUUAACUGGGCGUUAAGUUGCAGGGUAUAGACCCGAAACCCGGUGAUCUAGCCAUGGGCAGGUUGAAGGUUGGGUAACACUAACUGGAGGACCGAACCGACUAAUGUUGAAAAAUUAGCGGAUGACUUGUGGCUGGGGGUGAAAGGCCAAUCAAACCGGGAGAUAGCUGGUUCUCCCCGAAAGCUAUUUAGGUAGCGCCUCGUGAAUUCAUCUCCGGGGGUAGAGCACUGUUUCGGCAAGGGGGUCAUCCCGACUUACCAACCCGAUGCAAACUGCGAAUACCGGAGAAUGUUAUCACGGGAGACACACGGCGGGUGCUAACGUCCGUCGUGAAGAGGGAAACAACCCAGACCGCCAGCUAAGGUCCCAAAGUCAUGGUUAAGUGGGAAACGAUGUGGGAAGGCCCAGACAGCCAGGAUGUUGGCUUAGAAGCAGCCAUCAUUUAAAGAAAGCGUAAUAGCUCACUGGUCGAGUCGGCCUGCGCGGAAGAUGUAACGGGGCUAAACCAUGCACCGAAGCUGCGGCAGCGACACUUAUGUGUUGUUGGGUAGGGGAGCGUUCUGUAAGCCUGUGAAGGUGUACUGUGAGGUAUGCUGAAGGUAUCAGAAGUGCGAAUGCUGACAUAAGUAACGAUAAAGCGGGUGAAAAGCCCGCUCGCCGGAAGACCAAGGGUUCCUGUCCAACGUUAAUCGGGGCAGGGUGAGUCGACCCCUAAGGCGAGGCCGAAAGGCGUAGUCGAUGGGAAACAGGUUAAUAUUCCUGUACUUGGUGUUACUGCGAAGGGGGGACGGAGAAGGCUAUGUUGGCCGGGCGACGGUUGUCCCGGUUUAAGCGUGUAGGCUGGUUUUCCAGGCAAAUCCGGAAAAUCAAGGCUGAGGCGUGAUGACGAGGCACUACGGUGCUGAAGCAACAAAUGCCCUGCUUCCAGGAAAAGCCUCUAAGCAUCAGGUAACAUCAAAUCGUACCCCAAACCGACACAGGUGGUCAGGUAGAGAAUACCAAGGCGCUUGAGAGAACUCGGGUGAAGGAACUAGGCAAAAUGGUGCCGUAACUUCGGGAGAAGGCACGCUGAUAUGUAGGUGAAGCGACUUGCUCGUGGAGCUGAAAUCAGUCGAAGAUACCAGCUGGCUGCAACUGUUUAUUAAAAACACAGCACUGUGCAAACACGAAAGUGGACGUAUACGGUGUGACGCCUGCCCGGUGCCGGAAGGUUAAUUGAUGGGGUUAGCGGUAACGCGAAGCUCUUGAUCGAAGCCCCGGUAAACGGCGGCCGUAACUAUAACGGUCCUAAGGUAGCGAAAUUCCUUGUCGGGUAAGUUCCGACCUGCACGAAUGGCGUAAUGAUGGCCAGGCUGUCUCCACCCGAGACUCAGUGAAAUUGAACUCGCUGUGAAGAUGCAGUGUACCCGCGGCAAGACGGAAAGACCCCGUGAACCUUUACUAUAGCUUGACACUGAACAUUGAGCCUUGAUGUGUAGGAUAGGUGGGAGGCUUUGAAGUGUGGACGCCAGUCUGCAUGGAGCCGACCUUGAAAUACCACCCUUUAAUGUUUGAUGUUCUAACGUUGGCCCCUGAUCGGGGUUGCGGACAGUGUCUGGUGGGUAGUUUGACUGGGGCGGUCUCCUCCUAAAGAGUAACGGAGGAGCACGAAGGUUGGCUAAUCCUGGUCGGACAUCAGGAGGUUAGUGCAAUGGCAUAAGCCAGCUUGACUGCGAGCGUGACGGCGCGAGCAGGUGCGAAAGCAGGUCAUAGUGAUCCGGUGGUUCUGAAUGGAAGGGCCAUCGCUCAACGGAUAAAAGGUACUCCGGGGAUAACAGGCUGAUACCGCCCAAGAGUUCAUAUCGACGGCGGUGUUUGGCACCUCGAUGUCGGCUCAUCACAUCCUGGGGCUGAAGUAGGUCCCAAGGGUAUGGCUGUUCGCCAUUUAAAGUGGUACGCGAGCUGGGUUUAGAACGUCGUGAGACAGUUCGGUCCCUAUCUGCCGUGGGCGCUGGAGAACUGAGGGGGGCUGCUCCUAGUACGAGAGGACCGGAGUGGACGCAUCACUGGUGUUCGGGUUGUCAUGCCAAUGGCACUGCCCGGUAGCUAAAUGCGGAAGAGAUAAGUGCUGAAAGCAUCUAAGCACGAAACUUGCCCCGAGAUGAGUUCUCCCUGACUCCCUGAGAGUCCUGAAGGAACGUUGAAGACGACGACGUUGAUAGGCCGGGUGUGUAAGCGCAGCGAUGCGUUGAGCUAACCGGUACUAAUGAACCGUGAGGCUUAACCUUACAACGCCGAAG
rnacentral:rRNA from 1 species